ACGCUCUUCCCAUCUGAAACUGGAAAGAUGGAGGAAUGGAAAUGACAAAAAGAGAGAGGUAAAAAAAAAACAGUGAGAGAAGGGAGAAAAAGACAUUAUA